rnacentral:rRNA from 1 species
AGCGAACGCUGGCGGCAGGCCUAACACAUGCAAGUCGAACGAACUCUUCGGAGUUAGCGGCGGACGGGUGAGUAACACGUGGGAACGUGCCUUUAGGUUCGGAAUAACUCAGGGAAACUUGUGCUAAUACCGAAUGUGCCCUUCGGGGGAAAGAUUUAUCGCCUUUAGAGCGGCCCGCGUCUGAUUAGCUAGUUGGUGAGGUAACGGCUCACCAAGGCGACGAUCAGUAGCUGGUCUGAGAGGAUGACCAGCCACACUGGGACUGAGACACGGCCCAGACCCCUACGGGAGGCAGCAGUGGGGAAUCUUGCGCAAUGGGCGAAAGCCUGACGCAGCCAUGCCGCGUGAAUGAUGAAGGUCUUAGGAUUGUAAAAUUCUUUCACCGGGGACGAUAAUGACGGUACCCGGAGAAGAAGCCCCGGCUAACUUCGUGCCAGCCGCCGCUGUAACAC